GGGAGGGGUGGUGGCUCAGUUGUAGAGCUUCCGCCUUGCAGACGAAAGGUCCCAGGUUCAAUCCCCGGCAUCUCCCA